rnacentral:rRNA from 1 species
UACGAAGGGGGCUAGCGUUGCUCGGAAUUACUGGGCGUAAAGGGCGCGUAGGCGGCGUGACAAGUCACUUGUGAAAUCUCCGGGCUUAACUCGGAACGGUCAAGUGAUACUGUCGUGCUAGAGUACAGAAGGGGCAACUGGAAUUCUCGGUGUAGCGGUGAAAUGCGUAGAUAUCGAGAGGAACACCUGCGGCGAAGGCGGGUUGCUGGGCUGAUACUGACGCUGAGGCGCGAAAGCUAGGGGAGCGAACGGG